rnacentral:rRNA from 1 species
GUGGAUUAGAUACCCUGGUAGUCCACGCCGUAAACGAUGGAUGCUAGCCGUCGGCAAGCUUGCUUGUCGGUGGCGCAGCUAACGCAUUAAGCAUCCCGCCUGGGGAGUACGGCCGCAAGGUUAAAACUCAAAGGAAUUGACGGGGGCCCGCACAAGCGGUGGAGCAUGUGGUUUAAUUCGACGCAACGCGAAGAACCUUACCAGCUCUUGACAUUCACUGAUCGCCUGGAGAGAUCCGGGAGUCCUAGCAAUAGGCAGUGGGACAGGUGCUGCACGGUCGUCGUCAACU